GUGUCGAGUGCGACAGGCCGAGGGUAUCAUAACGUGUCAUUUCCACUGCGCGUGUGCAAGGUAGCUCAGUCCGCGGUCGCGUCUCCGCCACAACCGUUAAUCUGCAGCAGGGUAAAGUGCUGGUUCUUGCGCCAGAAGGAAACCUGAUUGGAGAAAGAGUGUGUGUUCUGAAGGUAAAGAAAGAUGUUCAUGAUGGAAGACCCUAGCGGCGGGAGAGAGUCUUUGGUGUUGAUAAUGGGCGAAGACGUCCUGCACACGCUCCUCCGGCUGGUCAUGGCGUGGGUGUUUCUCCUCCCGUGGAUGACGUUGGUCUCUGUUGUGGUCUUCGUGGGCGUGUGGGUGGGAAAGAGGCUCACAGCGGCUCGGUGUACGUCUUCUCGCAGAAUGGACGGCAAGACGGUUGUUAUCACGGGAGGAGAGUCUGGUCUUGGCAAGGAGGUGGCGAAGGACCUCGUGCGGCGUGGCGCGGAUGUCAUCAUCGCAGGAAUAGACAAGAUCAAGGCUUUCGAGACGAGAGACGAGCUGGCAGGUAAAGAGGGGAGUUUGGAAACGGCGUAUCUGGACCUCUCCAAGAUGGCGUCCGUCAGACAGUUCGCUAAAACUAUGGAGGGACGAAAAAUAGAUGUGCUUUUAAACAACGCUGGUGUUGCCGACUUGCCCCAAAGACUCACAAAGGAAGGUCUUGAGUUUACAGUCGCGACCAAUCACUUGGGACACUUCCUGCUGACGCAUCUCCUUAUGCCCGGACUGAAGAAGGCCCGUGGGAAGGUGGUCACCGUGACAUCCAUCUGCCACAAACACGUCAGAAGUGUGGAUGACCUUGACCUGACGGGCCGACCUCAAGUUCAGCUACGAACGAGAGGUCGGCACGCUGGAGAUCUACGCGGCUACCAAGGCCAUGAAUAUUUUGUUUUCUUCGGAACUCUCUCGGAAGUUGAACGGCACAGGCGUAACUUCGAACUGUGUGAAUCCUGGGUCAUCGAAAACCGAUAUAUUUAAAAACCUGAUGACCUGCCAUUGGUACGGCCCCUUCAUCAAGCUAUACGUCAUGGCAUAUGCAAAGACCAUCGAUGAAGGGGCUCAGACGUCCAUCCAUGCUGUUGUUUCCGAAGAGGUCGAUGGCGUGUCGGGAAAAUAUUUCGAGGACUGUAAGGAAAUGGAACCGUCAGAGUUAGUACAAGAUGUCGGUGUUGCCCGAAAACUUUGGGAAACAAGCGAGCGACUUGUUCAGCUACAACCACACGAAAGGACAAUUUAGAUUUAAAAAUGCAGUCUGUACCUUCGAGAAAGGAAUGUGAGUGAAACUAUGCAAGUAUAACAACAACAUGCAUUCCUUAAAAGACUGUUAGUGUACAUUAAAAACACGGAUAGUAAAAUGAAUAUAAAAUGAAAUGUAUGUAGAAGAAAUAUUA